GAAAGAAAUGCAGAUGGGCAGCUUCUGAUGUUUCCCCCUCAUCUACUACAUGCUGUUCUCUCAGAGGUGGUACGCAGCCUCAUGAUUGGCUGUACUCAAGCCACACCCCAAAACACUCUUCCGAAGAAGUGACCGAUCUCUGGCAGGACAGGAUUCUGGCUGCUGCUGAAGGAAACAUGAAGAGCACAUUCUCUGUCUUGCUGUCGUCCAGCUACCACUUAUCAAACUCCAGCCAGCUCUCCCCAUCAUACAGCAGAUACCAACCGGAGAUGGUGCAGUCUAAAGCCCAGUUCACACUGCAAAGAACGACGCCGACCAAUGGCAACAGACACAUU